rnacentral:lncRNA from 1 species
UGCGGGCGUAUCUGUCAAAUGUACGGUUAAUGGGUUAUUUUGCAUUUUUUGCAGAUCUGCACACAUUGGAAUUUCGCUAACUCCUCCGAAGGCUUUCGUUCGACCGGCACCACAUUUGCGCAGGCCAAUCUACCCCCCAUGGCCAUUAAAAGUUGUACAAAUCAUGACGCUGCACCCCACGGUUUACGUUCUAGGGGGCGCCAAAGAUAACCCAAAAAUCCACAUUCUUAAAAGUCUUAUAACUUUUUAUUUUUGUCCUCACUGCCCUCCAAGUUUUCUAGGAUGAUGCAAUGUCCAGCCAUCAACACAUUUGUGAAGGAAUUUUUACUCCCCAAAAGAGCGCCCCCCCAUGGCAGGAGAAAAAAGUCAAUUUUUUCUUGUCCCCUUACAUGAAAAUACACAUUGUUGAGUGUCACGCCUGAACGCUUUGUCAUAUUGACACAAAAAUUGACAAUCAUGUGUAUCUCAAUUAGAUCUACGAAAAAGUCAAAGAGCGCGUAUCUGUAUAAUGUACGGUUAAAGGGCUAUUUCGCAUUUUUUGCCGAUUCGCACACAUUGGAAUGUGGCUAUCUCCUCCUAAGGCUUUCGUCCCACCGAUACCAAAUUUGCUCAGGGCAAUCUACACCCCAUGCCCAUUCAAAGUUGUAAAAAUCAUGACGCUGCACCCCACGGUUUACGUUCUAGGGGGCGCCAAAGAUGACCCAAAAAUCCACAUUCUUAAAAGUCAUUUUGGCCACUGCAGGAGUACAGAGUACUGCAGUUCUAGGGGCGCCAAAGAUGACCCAAAAAUCCACAUUCUUAAAAGUCUUUUUGGCCACUGCAGGAGUACAGAGUACUGCAGGAUACACACACAUAUACACACACACACACACACACACACACACACACACACUCAGAGUCUGUUUUUUAGCACCUGCAAAAACAUGCUGUUUACAUAUUUGACAAGAAUGCAGAGGCUUCCUUUUGCCCCUGAAAAAAAUCAGAUUUCAAACACAACUUGACUGUUCAUUUCUCCAAAAGACAACCAUGAAGCUCCAUCCAAACCUGAAGCAGAUAGUUGGUGCAUGUGUACAGUAACCUGAGGGGAGUGAGGUGACUAUUUCUGAGGAGAACAUGAGCAGUGAAGAUUCACCUUGGAGCUAGAACAGGGACGUGCACAUGAUUAUACAGGGGCAGGGGCUCAAGUUUUUUCCAGUCAUUUAUACAAUAUGGAAAUUAAUGUGAAAUUAAACCACAAAUAUGUGUGAUGAACUGUUUUUAAAACUUAAACUUCAAAUAAAAAUUGUAAACUUCAAAACAUAUGCAAAUUUUUAACAAAGAACAUAGUAAUUUACCUCUAUUUACAUCAAAAUGCAGGCAAUGGCCCAGGCGUUCUUUGUAAAAUUAUUUACAAAACACUGUAUAGUCUCACAAAUGUCACUUUUUAUUUAUGCCACUACAAAAAAACAUGAUGUAAAUGAUGCAUGAUGUAAAACAUGAUGUAAAAAACUUGUGUAGAUCCUCCUCUAUGUCAGUCCAUGUGUAAUUUUUCCAUAAUUCUUUGUUUUUUGCAGCAUUUUUGUUAGUGUAACUGCAGAUUGUGCUGACAGUCUAUGGCAAAAAAAACAAAAACUGAAAAUGCCUCAACAUGAACCCCUGGUGGUCUCUGAGGGUGAAACCUGCUAACUGCUGCAGCUCUGUCAGCUUCAGUCUCCCAUGCAGAGCUCGGAGCGCAUGUGUGGCUCUGCACCCUUAUCAGCGUUGCUAACUCCUCAGUAAGGAAAGCCUGCUUCAUGUCAGAGUCUCUAAACUCCAGAAGAAGUCGAUAAAAGUCCCUUUCUUUCUAAAAAAAGUCGUUAGGGGGUCUGAAAAGUAAUUGAAUCUAACAACAAAGUCGCUAGGUUUGCAACUACGUGUCCCAGACUGCAUCCCUGCUGAGAGUCCCUCCCUCCCUUCUCAUGUUGCAGGAAGAACGUAAGCGCCCGCACCUUGUCAUUCAGUCACCAUAUAAUUUUGGAUUGGUUGUUGUGGUGAAGUUUUCCACCAAUAGGAGAGAUGUUGUGGUGUGUUUUUUUUUUCUUUUGGCAAGCCUUUUCCGCCUGUAAGACCUGUCGCUAAUGUCUGCAUGCUAUGUUUUCCUGUCUCAUACAGCGCGAUCGAGCGCCGAACGUGAUCAAAAUAAGCAGAAAAAAAGUAUUGCGGACAUAAUUUAUCAUAACUCUGGUUUUAUUUGGCCUAUCAACACAAUUUAAAAACUGGUAUAUAGGUUGAGGUCCUCACUUUUGAGAUAAGUUGAAACGGAGAGUUAACGAGGCUCCGUCUUGCAACUACAUCCGGUUAAAUAUGUCAUGUGACUUGAACGCUGGGGAGCGUCAAUCGAAUCGAAUCAAACCUAACUCUCAGAUGAAUCUUCAAAAUUCACCUCAGAAAUAUGCUUAUUAUUCUUCUCAGAGUACUGCAGGAUACACACACACACACACACACACAGACACACACACACACACGCACACACACACACACACACACUCAGAGUCUGUUUUUUAGCACCUGCAAAAACAUGCUAUUUACAUAUUUGACAAGAAUGCAGAGGCUUCCUUUUGCCCCUGAAAAAAAUCAAAUUUCAAACACAACUUGACUGCUCAUUUCUCCAAAAGACAACCAUGAAGCUCCAUCCAAACCUGAAGCAGGCAGUUGGUGCAUGUGUACAGUAACCUGAGGGGAGUGAGGUGACUGCUUCUGAGGAGAACAUGAGCAGUGAAGAUUCACCUUGGAGCUAGAACAGGGACGUGCACAUGAUAAUACAGGGGCAGGGGCUCAAGUUUUUUCCAGUCGUUUAUACAAUAUGGAAAUUAAUGUGAAAUUAAAAAACAAAGUAUGACUGUCCUGUGUAGGUGACAGUGAUAUCCAAUAUGCUAGGCACUCACGAGGCUGGCUGUGGCAAGUGUAAGUGAAAGCAACACGCACUGGCAGGAAGAACAGCAAACGCCGAUGAAGGAAAAGGGUCUUUGCUGUGAUGGGCGUUACCAGAGAGGGCGAUGGCCAGAGGACACGAAUGGGACGGGGAGGCAGCG